rnacentral:lncRNA from 1 species
GAGUUGAUUAAUGGUUCACCAAUCUACUAGGCUUUGAAUUUCUUGGUUAAUGUUUUGUUUUAAGUGCAUGCUAGCAUGAUUCCGCCUUUAAUUGUUAAUUGCAUGCUAUAUGAUGUUGCUUAAAUGAACAUGUUUUCACAAAAUCAUCCUUCACCUAUAUGUAUGGAUUUUCUAAGAACAAGAGGAUCGUCCUCUAUGAUACAUCAAUUCAACAGGUGAGGCGGCAUCACUUUUUGAAAUAUCUUCUUUGUCAUCCAGUAAGUAUUGGUUUCCUUUUAUCUUCAAGUUUCUUAAAUUUUUAUGGGAAGAAAAUGAAAGUUAUUUUCCAAUUGUGGUGAAAGGAAUGUAUGUAUUAUUGGCAUGAGUAAUCUUUAAGGAAAUAGGAAUGUAAAUAUUAUGUAAAUAUUAGAGUGGAAGCAUAUUUCUUUGUGUCCUAUUUUGUUUUCUUGAAGAACAAGGAUUGUAUGUACUUAUAUACCAAAUUAUGCAAUACAUGAAAAUUAAGCCGUAAAUUUCUAUUUGGCGUCAAGAGCUUGGUUUCGUUCAAUGGUAUUGAUGCGCUUGUGGGUUUUGCAGUGUACAAUUGUUGUGCAAUUGUUAGUAUACGAUUGUUUUGCACCAAUUGUCAAAGCAAUGGUGAAGCUAGGAAUUGUUGGGUGGAGGGGCGAAAAUUUUUGAAUCCUUACCUCCAAUUAGUAAACCGUUUCUCAGUGAAGACAUCACUUCCAUCAUUUCUCGCUUUAUCAAAAUCACAUUUGAAAAGUAGCAAUAACGGCAAAAUGCUACAUCUUUUGCUAUAUUAUACUCCAAUCACUCAAAAUUAUCAAACUAACGGGUGAUAAAACAUCGAUUGUCCUUCCCCAUAACUUAUAGUAUCAUUCCAUUACCUAAAUGUAUAAUGAAAAGAAAAAGUCACUUAAUCCUAGAUGAGUAAAUUGUAGCAAUGGUCCCUGAACUUUACUCAAAUUGGAGCAAUGGUCCCUCAACUAAAAAUCCAUUACCAUUGGUCCCUCAACUUAUCAAAAUGUGUAGCUAUAGUCCUUUUCAUUAAUUUCUUCAAAAUUUUGUCAAAAUAUGUUAUGUUGGAAUAACCAUUUAUUUAAUUAGGGUUCCUCAACUCAUCAAAGUGUGUAAUUAUGGUCAUUUUUGUCAACUACGUAAAAAAUUUUGUCAAAACGAGUUAUGUUUGAAGGACCAUAGCUACAAUUUGGAUAAAGUUAAGGGAUCAUUUCUCCAGUUGAAUUAAAAUUGAGGGACCAAAGGUAAUGGAUUUUUAGUUGAGGGACCAUAGCUACACGUUUUAAUGAGUUGAAGGACCAAUGGUAAUGGAUUUUUAGUUGAAGGACCAUUGCUCCAAUUUGAGUAAAGUUCAGGGACCAUAGCUACAAUUUACUCAUCCUAGAUAGAGUCUACUACAAGUAAUAACUAAUUAGACCAACAAUUCAGCUAAUUAAUAUAAAUAAUUAUAUAAUUUUAAUAAUAAUUAACAAUUAAUUUAUUCAAGAAUCAACAAUUCAAUUAAUCAAUAAUCAACAUUUAAUUUCAUCAAUAAUCAACAAUUCAUUAGUCAAUAACCAUACAAUUCAUAUCAAUUAUUCUAUAUCAAUUAAACAAAAUUUUAUAUUAAACUAUCAAUUAGGGAAAUUAAAUUAAAAAAAAAAAA